rnacentral:rRNA from 1 species
CAGUCGCCGCGGUAAUACGAAGGGUGCAAGCGUUAAUCGGAAUUACUGGGCGUAAGGCGUGCGUAGGCGGUGAGUUAAGUCUGCUGUGAAAUCCCCGGGCUCAACCUGGGAAUGGCAGUGGAUACUGGCUCGCUAGAGUGUGUCAGAGGAUGGUGGAAUUCCCGGUGUAGCGGUGAAAUGCGUAGAGAUCGGGAGGAACAUCAGUGGCGAAGGCGGCCAUCUGGGACAACACUGGCGCUGAGGCACGAAAGCGUGGGGAGCAAACAGGAUUAGAUACCCGAGUAGUCCCUGUCUCUUAUAC